AGAGUUUGAUCCUGGCUCAGGAUGAACGCUAGCUACAGGCUUAACACAUGCAAGUCGAGGGGAAACGACAUCGAAAGCUUGCUUUUGAUGGGCGUCGACCGGCGCACGGGUGAGUAACGCGUAUCCAACCUGCCCACCACUUGGGGAUAACCUUGCGAAAGUAAGACUAAUACCCAAUGACGUCUCUAGAAGACAUCUGAAAGAGAUUAAAGAUUUAUCGGUGAUGGAUGGGGAUGCGUCUGAUUAGCUUGUUGGCGGGGUAACGGCCACCAAGGCGACGAUCAGUAGGGGUUCUGAGAGGAAGGUCCCCCACAUUGGAACUGAGGAACACGGUCCAAACUCCGUAACGGGAGGCAA
rnacentral:rRNA from 1 species